rnacentral:lncRNA from 1 species
UAACCACUCGGAUUUUUACUCGGUGAUGGGGUUUUCCGGUGGCCGGCUCUCGAACUUCGGUCCGGCGGAUAUGUAUUCUGUUCAGUCGUCGAGGGGACCCACUCCGAGACCUUCGAAUUUCGAUGAGAGUUGUGGGAUGGUUUCUUCUCCUAGAUUCGGGUAUUACCCGGGUCCAACCGGGUCGUACCCGGCUCCGAAUCCGGAAUUUUCAUCCUCAGCCGCUAGUAAAAGCCAUCCUACCGGAGGUAAGUUGAAAAGUCAUGAUGCUAAGGAGCUUCAUAUGUUUGUCUGGGGAUCCAACGGGUCACCCGUUUCGGAUAGACCGGGUCUUCAAGUAUCCGGUGGAUCUAAUGAACAAGCGGGAGUAUCCGAUCAGGGAGCGAAAGAGAUCCGGAUGUUAGUCUCUGAUCCUCCAGAAGCUGCUCCGACAAAUGGAGAAUUUGGCGGUGAAGAAGAGUCAGGGAAGGUGAAGGAAGUGCCAAACGGGCUGCACAAGCUUCGGUGUAACUCCACGGUGGAGCUAAACCCUAAAGAAGCGGUGGAAACGGGUGAAACCGGACAGGGAAAACAUAUGCCGCCGGCGAGUGUGAUGACUCGGCUGAUACUGAUAAUGGUGUGGAGGAAACUGAUCAGAAACCCAAACACUUACUCUAGUCUCAUUGGUCUAAUUUGGGCUCUUGUGGCCUUCAGGUAACUAAUCAAGAACCAAUCAAUAGUAAAACUAAAAUUUAUUAGCAUUAUGUGAUUUAUACAAAAGAGUUGUGAUUGGAUUAUGAUUAUUAUGAAAGGUGGAAUGUGGCAAUGCCUAAAAUCAUUCAAGGAUCAAUCUCAAUUCUCUCUGAUGCUGGUCUCGGUAUGGCAAUGUUCAGUUUAGGUAAGUCUUAUCUUCUUUACUCUGUUUCUGUUCUUUUUUAGAUUAAUUACGCCAAUCCACAGUCACAAACGCAACCGUACGGAAAGUUCGGUAUAUUUUUAAGAUUUUUGGGGGUGACCUGUUAUUGGAUGGACCAUCCGACAUGUAGGGUCAAUGAUACGGCAUCGUAUUAUAGAACUGGUCGUUGUGGAAAGACAUACCUCGUGUUCUUUGAUAGUUUUCGUGGUCCCCAAUAUUAAGUGGAAGUUGAUUGGAGUUUACAUUCAUUUACAUUUGACGUGUAUGAUAUCAUUAUAUAUUGGAUUUAGAUUACACUUACAUGAUGUAUGAAAUCAUCAUUUAUUAUUUUGAGUGGAAACUAAUUAAUCGAUUAUGAAAAACAAUGAAGGGUUGUUCAUGGCGUUGCAACCUAAGUUAAUAGCUUGCGGAAAUUCUACAGCAACUUUUGCAAUGGCGGUGAGGUUCUUGACUGGACCAGCAGUAAUGGCCGUUGCAGCCAUGGCUAUUGGAUUACGGGGAGAUCUAUUACGCGUGGCCAUAGUUCAAGUAAAUAUAUUUGAUGUUGCUUAUUUUAUUAUGUUUCUUGCUGAUGUUAGGAUACUCUUCUUGCUCGUCUCUGCAGUCCGAGAACCUUCUUUGACCAUUCCGUUGUCUAACUUUUUAAAACCCUUCCUCUUCUUUUUGGUGUUGUCCUCUCCCUGAUUAAACUGAGGUUUAAGACCACUCUGCACUGGAGCCUGGCUGUCAGGUGCAGGAAUCUGAUACAUCGCAUACACAGCUUUCGUUGUUUCAUCUUCAGGAACAUCGCAAUAGUUCGCACCAGGGCUGAAACACACAUUUUUGACAAUAUAUCACAUCGAAAAAAAUAAUAUAUAGAGAAUUAAGAAAAAAAACUCACAGCCAAUCAAGCAUCGUGCACAUCCAUUUCUCCGGAAGUUUGGGGACGGGGCCAAAAGGAAGAAGCCGCCACUGUCCACACUUGUCACAAGCAACCCAAUGUUCUUCUAUGACCACGGGAUUCGCUUUAGGAAGAGAAGGAUCACUACCAAGUUUGCCCAAUGAGGGUCCAGGACCAACAUUCUGAGAUUCUGUCACUGGGACUCGAGACUUUUCCGGCGUAUCUUCUAAGGUCGGAGGUUCCACUUCUUCCUCAGAGUCAUCUAUGUCUCCAAAAAAGUCUUUGUAAGUGUCCUCAGCUUUUUUGCCACCAUUAUGUGGUUUCAAGGCUGCCACUUCCUUCUUCUCAGAUUGACCAUUCAUCUUUGUUUCAUUGACAACAGAGCUUUUCUGUUUACUAAACUUCGAUGAAGACUGUGGCUCCCGUUCUAUCUGAUCAGACUUCUGUUUUCUCGACGAAUGUUCUUUAUGACCACUUUUCAGCUUUGACGCUUCUGUUUCCUUUUUGACUAACUCAGGAGCUACGCUUCCUUUGUAUUCUUUCCUCGAGCGUCCUGAAGCAUCAUCAUCACCAAAUCUAUUCUUCUUAUCUCCCCGAACACUUCCAGCUGAACUAGUCUUUGGAUUCUCAUGAUGCGGCGGCUCAAGAGCUUUGCUUCCUUUGUAUUCUCCUACCUCCAUGUCUCCCUUAAGACUGCCAUUGUAAUUUUCUUUGGAUGCAUCAAAUAAUUUACUACUGGCUGUUUCUUUCUCCGUUCCAGAAGGAUAUGAUGUGUUUGUUUCCGUUGGCUUCUUGACGGAGCCAUCAUUUCCAUCAAGUAGACCCUUCUUACUGCGGACACUUGCCUCUGCAGACAAGUUGUUCCUCUCCAGCAUCUUUCUUUUCUUCUCCACUGAUGGAUCCUCUCCAGCCUUUUGAGGUUCCAGACGGUUUGCCAUAGCAGAAGAACUCUCAAUGAAAAGCCUGGAUGGAGAUGUACGCUUAUAUCCCUUCUCGGGUUUUUCCCUCUCGAUGAACCGAAUCAGGUCAUUAGAGAGAGGAGAUAGCAACUGACAAGGAUCCACAGGAAGAGAAGUCAUAACCUGCAUUAUAAGAAUAUUAUCAACACGAUAAAGCCUCUCAAAACAAAGGACACUGUUGCACUAUAUCGAAACAAAACAAGGAAAACUCUUACAUUAAGAAUAUUGGUGGGAGACUCCAACGGAGAAUAACCUUGAGGUUCUCCAGACAUCCCUUCACUACCAGAAACACUAUUAGGCGACACAUCAAGUCCGAGGCCACUAUAUAUCGCAGCAGCAUUCUUUUCAGCAGGUAAACUAUCUGAUCCCAUCUUUAUCCGAAGCUUCAGGGAGUUUUGUUUACUGAAGACCCCAGGCUUCUUGGUUGCAGAUUCAUGUCUGGAACUGGAGUUGGGUUUCUUGGAUUUCACUGAUUUUUGGGGGAUUCUAGAGGAAGUAAGCUCAGAUUUUGCCGUUUUAGGAAGGCUAGACGAAGCUGCAUUACCACUCUGGGACUGAGAGAAGAAUAGAAGGUUAAGAGACUAAGUAAUGUUAUAGCAUUUACAGGAAGAAAAAAAGAACAUAUACCUCCCCUGGUAAGAUGUUAGGAGAUCUAGUCCCUGCAGAGCUCUGAGGUUUUGCAGGUGCCUUUGGAUAAGACCAAAGAGGGGAACGUUGAUAAGUUGGCAAGAAAGAGCCAUAGCCACCAAAUUUCGCCCCUGUAACGAAAUUGAAAGGACUAGUUUCACACUUUGUGACCCAAAGGAAGAAGAAGAGUUGCUGCCACGCAUAAACAUACCAAGAUUCUCAGCAGAAAAAUCGCCCUCGAAGUCUUUCUGGAAAUGUCCAAGUAUGUUUUGAAGCUUGUGGUCCUUCAAAAUAAACAAGAGAGCAAAACCAAAACACUGAUUACUUGCAAAAAUAACAAACUCAAAGACUCAGAGUUUAAAACCUAAGAAUUUAAACAUACAUACCAUAGAAACCUUGUUUACAUCCAUGUAAUAAAAAACCUAAACAAAGCAGCAGGCAAUCGCAAACUAAAGACUUCCUUAUAGAAACCAAAGGCUUAAAUAGUUUAACAAUCUGGGAAAGUGAUCUAAUCGCAAUUAAAGUGAUCUCUCGUUGCAGAUUAAAUCAUAAUGAAAUUACCAAACCAUAACAUUUAAACAUACAUACCAUGUUGACCACAUACACAUCCUUACCAAAGUAAAAAUCAAUCAAUGCAUCUAUCUUGAAAAAUAUUAAAAAAAAAAAAUAGCCUAGACGUUCAAAAAAUCGAUAUAGGUAUCCGCCGCAUCAAUAAUUUCUUAUAGAAAAAAAAACUAAUUACCUUUCUUCCAAAAUGGAGAAAACACAGUAACAUUAGCACUUGACACAGUUCAUAAUCCAAGUUGUCAAUAAGACACUAACAUAUAUAUAAAAAAAAAAAGAGAUAAAUCUUACAAUGUAAGAGAGAUCGUUGUCAGGGUCGAAGCUAGAACCAAAAUCGUUAGUGAGAUUGUAAGAGCAAGCCUCUCCUUCUUCAAGCUCAGACUCCUCCAUAUCUAUCCACACCACCUUAACCCUAACCCUAGCCCCUUUCUAACAUUGCAAUCCUCCCCACACCCACACACACACCCACACACACGAAAAAAAACGUUAAGACAAAACAAUUGGAUUGGCUACGGAUCCACGAAACAGUAAGGCCCCAAACUUAUAAGAUUUGCCCUAGCUAAGAUCAAAUUCGAAAUCCGAUCAGGACCACCCUAAAUCGAACACAAGAGACGAAGUAGAAGCCCCUCCCCCCCAGAAAGUGAAUUUGAUUUUUUUUCUUGUUCAAUUUCGAAGAUGAAUUGAAUUCGAAGAGAAAACAAUCUGAUCGGAAAGAGAGCAGAAUUAUUUGGGAGUUUUUGGAAGGAUCAAAUGAGUUUGGAAUUGGAUCUCUGUUCGCUGGACAAAAUCAAUUUAGCAAACCAACCCGAAGAAUCUCCCGGGUUUUGGUAUAGGGUCAAACGCGGUUAUUUGUUUCCUUUUUUAUUUAUUUCUUUCCUUUUUUCAUCCCUACGUGUAAGAAACAUACAAAGGUAAGUUGUGUCCCAAGUUUUUUGUUUUGUUUUAAAUGGAGCAAAAUAUAUAUGAUUUUCACUUUUAUUUUGUGACUUAAGUAGCACUAGAUUUUGUUGGUUUUGAAAUAAAUAAACCAAUAGAUAAUUUCCAUGACUAGAAUCUCUUGAGAUAAGUAUGUAAAGGUUGUUUUAUGUGAAAGAAUCAACUGAUAUAUAUAUAUAUAUAUUUGACCCAAAAAAAUAAAAAAGAAUACAUAUAUAUAAAGAUAUAUCACUGAAAACAUAGAUUCUGAUUAAUGAUUUUUUCGAGAACAAGAGAAACGAGUGAAAAAAGAAAUAAAUUAAUAGAAAUAAAUGGAUAGGUAAAUUUUCCUUGUAAAUAGUUACUAUUUUGUCUUCGCGAAUUUUUAGUGAUUUAUUUAUUUAAAUACAUGGACGAGGUUUUGUUUUGGUUCUAAUUUCCUUUGGCCAUGUAGAAGAGCGCGUCUUCGUAUCCUUUUGGUUGCUAGAUUUCGAUUUUUUGGCGCUUUCUAGUGAAAGCAGUAUAAUAGUAAUCCUUUUAUGUUUCCGUUUCGUCAAUAGAUUAGCGAAGAUUAAUUUGUCUCUUCAAAAGCUUAUGCUCUAGGUCUUUUAUUAAAUUUGUGUUGAAGAUGUUAUGUGUUUCCAGUUUUUUUUUGUUUGUCUAGCAUUCUAACGAUUGGAUCUUAUUGUUUUAUGUAUCGAUGUGUUGGGGUUUCGGUCUCCCCAUGUGUGGGAAUUUGUUUCUGAAGGCCUUAGGACAUGACGACUAAUGCAUUCAACCUUUGUUUCAUUCAACUUUUGUAUUCAUUUUUGUGUAUGAAUGAAAUCUUUAAUGUGGAAAAUGUUAAUCAACAAAAGGAAUGAGUAUUUUCAUUUAAAUUAAUAUAGAAACUAUUGUUUGAAAAAAUUAAAUAUAAUUAAGAUUUUUAUUCAUAGGUUUUAGAAUCCAUAUCUAUACCCCCAUAUUUAUUACUUGCACACACAAACAACUGAUUUAUUUUUUCACAAAAAACGUUAAUUUAUACUAGUAUACUUCUCCAUGUAUCCAUAACUAUAAUUUAUAAUUAUUUAAUAAAAAGAACACAUAUAUGAAUUUAUAGUCGAAGAAAAUCAUGUCUUUUAUCAAUCUAAUUUAUUCACUGAUAUGAUCUUGCACCAUUUUUAUAUAAACUCAUGUCGAUGUAUUUUGGUUCACUUAUUCAUCACUCUCAUCAUCUGAAUAAUUGUUCACAGAUUGUUCACAUUGAGAUACAUAUGUGUAGUGUCCCUUCCCAAAUCCUAUUCUUCGUAGUCAAUCUUCCAACGAAUAAAGUUCUGGAGUCUCAUUGUUAAAAAUAUAACAUUUAUUUGCGUUGAGAUAUUUUACUUUAGAAAUUAAUUUAAACUUCUCUGUUUUUCCUUCUAAACACCAAACAUAUAUUCAAUAACUCAAUAACUGAACGUAGUAACACAUGACAUCUAUUAAACAUUUUUACGAGUUCUUAGGCUCACUAUUUAAAAUUCUUGGAAAUGUAUUGAAUAUGUCUACUCUUUCUUUUGAUAUGGAGCUAAAUAACCACAAUUUUCAUAACCAAAAUCUACAAAACAAUAUUUUUCCUUCUAGAAGAUGAGGAAAAAUUAAAUCAUCUCGUAUAGUAGUUUCCAGAAUUUGAGGGUCAUGUGUUGAUUCAACCAUUCCAAUGAAACAAUAUGUAUAUAUAGCAUGUCAUGACCACAAAUUCCCAAAAAUUAAGAUAGCACAAACACUGUUGGUAAAACGUAAGUGACUUCAUGGCCCAAUAGAUAAGGCGCUGGUCUACGAAACCAGAGAUUCUGGGUUCGGUAACUUUUUAUCUCUUUCCAAAAUUUUAAAACCUUCUGAGACAUCCGGAAGCUUCUCUCCAUUAAAGUCAAUUUUCUUGUGAGAACAAUAAGGAGCAGCUCCUCGAUUUCAUCUCCUUGAGGAGACGAUGUCUAUUUACAGAAUCGCUAGAGCCUUGUCCUUCUUUGGGAUCUACAGGUUCAAUUGUUUUUAAUUGCCUGCCUCUUCACUUACCUCGUGAAUUUACCUCGUUUGAACAUGAGAUUGUAAAAUAGACAUGUUUAUCGCAUGGAUUCUUAAAAUAGAGUUCUUAACAACAAAAUAUUAUUAUUUUAAUAUAUUACUAGAUUUUGAUCCGUGCAACCGCGCGGGGUUGAGGAAAUUGCUUAUUUCUGUUUUGCAUUAUGAAACAAUCAAAUUGAUAUGUUAGAAAAUUAACUUGUAAUUUGAUAAUUCUAUACAAAGCAGAAGAUUUUCUAGUGUUUAUGUUUGUAGAACAUAUUCACUUUGUUUUUAAUAUAUGACGUUUUGGAAAAUCUUUUUUCACUUCAAAUUAGAUGAUAUUUUCAAUUUUCAAUGCAAGUUUAUUCAUUUUUUCUUUUUAUAUAACCUUUUAUAUUAGCCAGUUAGCAUUUUAUUGGUUGAAUUAUGAAUAGGUAAAUAGUUAAUGAUGUUUUUGAUUAGAUAAAAUAUAAAAUUAAUUUUUUUUUCUUUAGUUUGUGUGAAUAAAUCUAAAUUUUAAAGUAAGAAAAAUGGAAGGCUCGCUCAUGGUCCAAGUCGUCGUUCUCCAGUGUAUAAUCUGGUACACGCUCCUCCUCUUCUUGUUCGAGUACAGAGGGGCCAAGAUUCUGAUCAUGGAGCAGUUCCCGGAGACGGCGGCUUCGAUAGUUUCUUUCAAAGUCGAGUCCGACGUCGUUUCGUUGGACGGGCAUGAUUUUCUUGAGACGGACGCUGAGGUUGGAGACGACGGGAAGUUACACGUCACGGUGAGGAAGUCGAACGCUUCUCGGAGAUCUUUUUGCGGUCCGAAUAUGACUCCGCGUCCGUCGAAUCUCACCGGAGCUGAGAUUUAUAGUCUCAGCACGACGCCGAGAGGUUCUAAUUUUAACCACUCGGAUUUUUACUCGGUGAUGGGGUUUUCCGGUGGCCGGCUCUCGAACUUCGGUCCGGCGGAUAUGUAUUCUGUUCAGUCGUCGAGGGGACCCACUCCGAGACCUUCGAAUUUCGAUGAGAGUUGUGGGAUGGUUUCUUCUCCUAGAUUCGGGUAUUACCCGGGUCCAACCGGGUCGUACCCGGCUCCGAAUCCGGAAUUCUCCACCUCAGCCGCUAGUAAAA